GGGUUGUGAGGUUAAGCGACUAAGCGUACACGGUGGAUGCCCUGGCAGUCAGAGGCGAUGAAGGACGUGCUAAUCUGCGAUAAGCGUCGGUAAGGUGAUAUGAACCGUUAUAACCGGCGAUUUCCGAAUGGGGAAACCCAGUGCAAUUCGUUGCACUAUCGUUAAGUGAAUACAUAGCUUAACGAAGCGAACCGGGGGAACUGAAACAUCUAAGUACCCCGAGGAAAAGAAAUCAACCGAGAUUCCCCCAGUAGCGGCGAGCGAACGGGGAGCAGCCCAGAGUCUGAAUCAGCAUGUGUGUUAGUGGAAGCGUCUGGAAAGUCGCACGAUACAGGGUGAAAGUCCCGUACACCAAAAUGCACAUGUUGUGAACUCGAAGAGUAGGGCGGGACACGUGGUAUCCUGUCUGAAUAUGGGGGGACCAUCCUCCAAGGCUAAAUACUCCUGACUGACCGAUAGUGAACCAGUACCGUGAGGGAAAGGCGAAAAGAACCCCGGCGAGGGGAGUGAAAAAGAACCUGAAACCGUGUACGUACAAGCAGUGGGAGCCUCUUUAUGGGGUGACUGCGUACCUUUUGUAUAAUGGGUCAGCGACUUAUAUUCUGUAGCAAGGUUAACCGAAUAGGGGAGCCGAAGGGAAACCGAGUCUUAACUGGGCGUUAAGUUGCAGGGUAUAGACCCGAAACCCGGUGAUCUAGCCAUGGGCAGGUUGAAGGUUGGGUAACACUAACUGGAGGACCGAACCGACUAAUGUUGAAAAAUUAGCGGAUGACCUGUGGCUGGGGGUGAAAGGCCAAUCAAACCGGGAGAUAGCUGGUUCUCCCCGAAAGCUAUUUAGGUAGCGCCUCGUGAAUUCAUCUUCGGGGGUAGAGCACUGUUUCGGCUAGGGGGUCAUCCCGACUUACCAACCCGAUGCAAAC
rnacentral:rRNA from 1 species